AGUAAGAGUAGAGGUGUCCUGACUGCUGGUAAGUCACUAAAAGUAGGGGUGUUGACCCCAGUGUCUUGACUAAACUCUACUCUGGGCUAGACAGUCCCUCUUAAUCCUCCUGGUGCAGCAGUUUCUCUCUGCUGCCCCUGAUCUGUGUACAGGGGGGUAUGUGAAGUAUACAGAAAACCCGUACAGCACAGCAUAUCAGUCAUGUUUAAUGAUUAUGAGUUUAAAUGUAUUCACAGCAGAUAGGAGGUUUAUCUCUUUUUCAGAUAGCAUGUUUUACACUUUGUACUUUCAAGAUUAGUUUUGAUUCUGCUUGAACAUACAAUACCUCAGUUUUCAAUCAUGGAUGAUCGUGGUAUAUAAACAAGAUACCAUAUUAUAGACACAAGGUCAUUGCAGUGAACAUCAUCAACAGCCUUUGUUCACCUUUGCAAGCUUUGGGUGUUUAAGAGUCAUAUUGUAGCCCUUGAAUGACCAUUUUCUAUGUUCAAUUACAAACCAGAGCCCCAGCACGCUGACAAAGUGCUACCUAGAAGAGAACAGCGUUCAGUGCUUUGUUUAAAAAGAGAAGACAGGUCCCAGACCGCCUUGACGAGGCUUUGCUGCAACCCGAUUGGUGGGAAGGUGUUUCAAUCAGCCGUGACAGGUCGUAACCAGAUCAUUUUACCGCUGGGAGCAACAACAAACCCGGACGAGCUGCAAGUACAGGUAUUUGCAGAGACCACAGUGACGAGUUUCGGCUCUGGAUUAAAUGCAUUAGUCUGGAUACGGCUCGAUCUGCUGCACAUAGGUACGAUUCCCUCCCUCCGACGCUCUGCCGCUGAAUUUCCAGGGACUCGGAGUAACCACCGUGCAGACCGAGGUCACACAGCUCCCCGCCCGGGUCUAGAAGAGACGCCGGGGGCCAGGAUCUCGCAGCUGGGCCGCUCUCUCCCGGCUCGGACGCGUCCCUCACGCCCGCAGCGAGUCCUGCCCGUGCUGUGAGGACGAUGACCUGAGCGCCGGACGCUCGCCGAGGCUCCACUUACAGCCGCCGCCGUGUCCUACGUGACGACCCGAGGAACAGACACUGACCCAACAUGACCCGCGAUCUGCAGCUGGGAGAUGAGCUCCCUGACUGGGCAGGAGCCAAAGAAUUCUAUCAGAAGUAUGAUCCGAAAGAGGUGAUUGGCAG